GGCAAAAGCUCAAAUUUGAAAUCCUUCGGGAAUUGUAUUUUGAAGGUGGGUUUGGUUAGGAAAAGUUACUUUAAGUCCAUUGGAAAAUGGCGCCAUGGAGGGUGAUAGCCCCGUAAAAGUAUCCCUUUUCCUUUUAUCCAUUCCCUCCAAAGAGUCGAGUUGUUUGGGAAUGCAGCUCUAAGUGGGUGGUAAAUUCCAUCUAAAGCUAAAUAUUGGCGAGAGACCGAUAGCGAACAAGUACAGUGAUGGAAAGAUGAAAAGCACUUUGAAAAGAGAGUGAAAAAGUACGUGAAAUUGUUGAAAGGGAAGGGCUUGCAAGCAGACACAACCUCGGUUGGGCCAGCAUCGGAGUGGGGGGAGACAAAAAAGAAAAGGAAUGUAACUCUUU
rnacentral:rRNA from 1 species